AUUGUUUGGAGAGUUUGAUCCUGGCUCAGGACGAACGCUGGCGGCGUGCUUAACACAUGCAAGUCGAGCGGAAAGGCCCUUCGGGGUACUCGAGCGGCGAACGGGUGAGUAACACGUGAGCAACCUGCCCCUGACUCUGGGAUAAGCCUGGGAAACCGGGUCUAAUACCGGAUAUGACCGUCUCCGGCAUCGGGUGACGGUGGAAAGAUUU
rnacentral:rRNA from 1 species